CACGUAGGGGGCAAGCGUUGUCCGGAUUUAUUGGGCGUAAAGAGCUCGUAGGCGGUUCGUUAAGUCGGGUGUGAAACCUCCAGGCUCAACCUGGAGACGCCACCCGAUACUGUUGUGACUAGAGUCCGGUAGGGGAGCGUGGAAUUCCUGGUGUAGCGGUGAAAUGCGCAGAUAUCAGGAGGAACACCGGUGGCGAAGGCGGGUCUCUGGGCCGAUAUUGACGCUGAGGAGCGAAAGCGUGGGGAGCGAACAGG
rnacentral:rRNA from 1 species